rnacentral:rRNA from 1 species
CAAUAGCGUAUAUUAAAGCCGUUGCGGUUAAAAAGCUCGUAGUUGGAUUUCUGUCAAGGACAACUGGUCCGCCCUCCGGGUGAGCACAUAGUUUGGUCUUGGCAUCUUGCUGGAAGCUGUUGCUGCACUUGGCUGUGUGGCGCAGCGUCCAGCACUUUCACUUUGAGGAAAUUGGAGUGUUUCAAGCAGGCACAUGCCUUUGGACACAGUAGCAUGGAAUAAUUAGAUUGGGCUUUUGCUCCAAUUUGUCGGUUUCUGGAGCUGAGGUGAGAAUUAAUGGGGAUUGUUGGGGGCAUCCGAAUUUAGCCGUCAGAGGUGAAAUUCUUGGAUCUGCUAAAGACGGACAACUGCGAAAGCGUUUGCCCAGGAUGUUUUCAUUGA